AUUGAACGCUGGCGGCAGGCUUAACACAUGCGAGUCGAGCGGGGGGAGGUAGUUUGCUACCUAACCUAGCGGCGGACGGGUGAGUAAUGCCUAGGAAUCUGCCUACUAGUGGGGGACAACAUUUCGAAAGGGAUGCUAAUACCGCAUAAGCUCGAAGGGGGAAAGCAGGGGACCUUCGGACCUUGCGCUAAUAGAGGAGCCUAAGCGGGAUUAGGUAGUUGGUGGGGUAAAGGCCUACCAAGGCGACGAUCUGUAGCGGGUCUGAGAGGAUGGUCCGCCACACUGGGACUGAGACACGGCCCAGACUCCUACGGGAGGCAGCAGUGGGGAAUAUUGGACAAUGGGGGGAACCCUGAUCCAGCCAUGCCGCGUGUGUGAAGAAGGCCUUUUGGUUGUAAAGCACUUUAAGCGAGGAGGAGGCUACCGAGAUUAAUACUCUUGGAUAGUGGACGUUACUCGCAGAAUAAGCACCGGCUAACUCUGUGCCAGCCGCCGCAGUAAGAC
rnacentral:rRNA from 1 species